GGUUCUGGUGCCGCCCCAGUUCCUGUGCCUGAGGAACAUCCGCACCUUCCUGAGCGCCUGUGCCGACAAGUUCGGGCUCCCCAAGCACCGGCUCUUCGGCGCCUUCGACCUCUUCGAUGUCCACGACUUCGGCAAGGUCAUUGAGACCCUCUCGACGCUCUCCUGGACCCCCAUUGCCCAGAGCAAAGGCCUCACGCCCUUCCCCAUUGGUGACUGUGUUGGGGAUGAGGACAUCUACAGCGGCCUCUCUGACCUCAUUGAGUGAGUGGGG